AUUGAAACACCAGUUCCUGUAUGAUCAUUAGAGUUAAGCAAUAUUGAGCCUGGUCAGUACCUAGAUUGGUGACAGUUUGGGAAUACCAGGUGCUGUAAG